rnacentral:rRNA from 2 species
UGGCUCAGAUUGAACGCUGGCGGCAGGCCUAACACAUGCAAGUCGAACGGUAACAGGAAGCAGCUUGCUGCUUUGCUGACGAGUGGCGGACGGGUGAGUAAUGUCUGGGAAACUGCCUGAUGGAGGGGGAUAACUACUGGAAACGGUGGCUAAUACCGCAUAACGUCGCAAGACCAAAGAGGGGGACCUUCGGGCCUCUUGCCAUCAGAUGUGCCCAGAUGGGAUUAGCUUGUUGGUGAGGUAACGGCUCACCAAGGCGACGAUCCCUAGCUGGUCUGAGAGGAUGACCAGCCACACUGGAACUGAGACACGGUCCAGACUCCUACGGGAGGCAGCAGUGGGGAAUAUUGCACAAUGGGCGCAAGCCUGAUGCAGCCAUGCCGCGUGUAUGAAGAAGGCCUUCGGGUUGUAAAGUACUUUCAGCGGGGAGGAAGGUGUUGUGGUUAAUAACCGCAGCAAUUGACGUUACCCGCAGAAGAAGCACCGGCUAACUCCGUGCCAGCAGCCGCGGUAAUACGGAGGGUGCAAGCGUUAAUCGGAAUUACUGGGCGUAAAGCGCACGCAGGCGGUCUGUCAAGUCGGAUGUGAAAUCCCCGGGCUCAACCUGGGAACUGCAUUCGAAACUGGCAGGCUUGAGUCUUGUAGAGGGGGGUAGAAUUCCAGGUGUAGCGGUGAAAUGCGUAGAGAUCUGGAGGAAUACCGGUGGCGAAGGCGGCCCCCUGGACAAAGACUGACGCUCAGGUGCGAAAGCGUGGGGAGCAAACAGGAUUAGAUACCCUGGUAGUCCACGCCGUAAACGAUGUCUACUUGGAGGUUGUGCCCUUGAGGCGUGGCUUCCGGAGCUAACGCGUUAAGUAGACCGCCUGGGGAGUACGGCCGCAAGGUUAAAACUCAAAUGAAUUGACGGGGGCCCGCACAAGCGGUGGAGCAUGUGGUUUAAUUCGAUGCAACGCGAAGAACCUUACCUGGUCUUGACAUCCACAGAAGAAUCCAGAGAUGGAUUUGUGCCUUCGGGAACUGUGAGACAGGUGCUGCAUGGCUGUCGUCAGCUCGUGUUGUGAAAUGUUGGGUUAAGUCCCGCAACGAGCGCAACCCUUAUCCUUUGUUGCCAGCGGUUAGGCCGGGAACUCAAAGGAGACUGCCAGUGAUAAACUGGAGGAAGGUGGGGAUGACGUCAAGUCAUCAUGGCCCUUACGACCAGGGCUACACACGUGCUACAAUGGCGCAUACAAAGAGAAGCGACCUCGCGAGAGCAAGCGGACCUCAUAAAGUGCGUCGUAGUCCGGAUUGGAGUCUGCAACUCGACUCCAUGAAGUCGGAAUCGCUAGUAAUCGUGGAUCAGAAUGCCACGGUGAAUACGUUCCCGGGCCUUGUACACACCGCCCGUCACACCAUGGGAGUGGGUUGCAAAAGAAGUAGGUAGCUUAACCUUCGGGAGGGCGCUUACCACUUUGUGAUUCAUGACUGGGGUGAAGUCGUAACAAGGUAACCGUAGGGGAACCUGCGGUUGGA